GGGUCCGGACACACUGAGGAUUGACAGGCAAAAGAUACAAGUUUUCUUUGUGAGAGCUUGCAUUGUAAAAUAUGCGAGUCCUUUCAUGAUUAUGUGAUAGGUGGUGCAUGGCCGUUCUUAGUUCGUGGAGUGAUCUGUCUGCUUAAUUGCGUUUCACAACGAUUUAAAAUGCUAUGUUUUCUGUGUUUGCUGUUCGGUUUUAGCUCUUACGGGAGUUUUUAACUUUGAGCGCACACGGCGUAGCUUAAAACAAUCGGAAAGCAACGAACGUGACCGCAACCUCUUGUUGCCUUUAUUUUUAAAAGCGUAGAAAAUUUCAUAUUUUCUUACGCUUGAAAAAGGCUUUAAAACUAGAGGGACCGCUGUUCUAUUCUCUUAAACCAGAGGAAGAUUGCGGCAAUAACAGGUCUGUGAUGCCCUCAGAUGUUCCGGGCUGCACACGUGCUACAAUGAUUGUUGCAGUGAGCAUCUAUUUUCAAACGCUACCGUUGCGGAUUUUGUGAGAAGGGGGCUUGUUUUAAAGCUUUCGGGUGGAGAAGCAGGUUCUUUUUUUCACAAUUUAUUCCGCGUUACGUGUCAGCUAAACCUGCUUCGAAAGCAAGUAGGU
rnacentral:rRNA from 1 species